AUGAAUUGGCUAAGUUGGAACUGCCGGGGGGCGGGGAAUCCUUCGACAGUUCAUGAUCUCGCGUCUCUUGUUAUGACGCAUUCCCCAAGUCUUGUUUUCUUGUGUGAGACUAGGCAGAAUAAAAAUAAGAUGUAUCGUUUGCAUAAUAGGUUAGGGCUUUCUGGUUUUGAAGGAGUCAGUAGUAAUGGUCGUAGUGGCGGCCUAGCACUAUUCUGGCAUGAGUCUAUGUAUGUCGAUGUG
rnacentral:rRNA from 1 species